rnacentral:lncRNA from 1 species
ACCACCAGCCAAUCGGCCGAAAAACACUGCCGGAGUCCAGCGGCACCGCCGCUGCUUCCUUCGAUUUUUGCCUCCGAUGAGGUCCUUUUCGGUUCCCGUUCGAUGUAAUUUUUACACUACUGUGAUCACCGUCCUUUUCUCUACAGGUUGACUAGAGCAAAACAUCAAACUGCGACUCGCGUCGGAGAAGUCGCCGCACUCGAGAGCUCCGCCGCCGGUAA